AUUCGGGAGGAUGGCGCUGCGACAUUUAUCCACGGAGGAUUUAAUCACGGAGUUAUUUCAUUUUGGGAUAGAGGUCACUGAAGAGGAGUGAAGUAAAUUCAAAGUCAUGCAAUCCCAUCAUCAGCCUUCCCAGCAGCUUUCAUCAUUCCUAAAUUUCCCAGAGAUGUUCAGACAAAGUUGGACCAAAAACCGCCAUGCAAAUUGGAGAGAUCCGAUCACAACAAAAUCAUAAGAACAUUAUAUGAAACCAUGGCCCUGAUCAAAAUGUUUCUGACCAAUGAUGACUACGUGAAAGUGUGUAAGGCCCUGAUUUUGAAAUACCCUUUCUUAAAGGACAAAGAAGGAAAUGGUUAUUUUAUUCCCUGUAUCUAUUCUCUUAUAUCGCUGUUUUGUUUUUGGAGUGGCAGUAUGAAAUUGUCAGUUGGUCAAUGAAAUGCUUCUUAAAAAUGUAUUUAAUUUUUUUAAAUGUUUUUUUUAUAUCAGACAUGACAUCCUAAACAUUGUGGCAUUUUAUUUUGGGAUGUUACAUUGUAUGGUUGUGAGAUGAAUUAUUAUUGAAUCUGUGAAUUAAACUGUUUUCCAUAUAUGGACUAAAAUAAAUGUCUAAAAUUCAGUUAGUUGUUGUUUGCCUACAUUUUCUUUCACUCCUUAAGGAAUAAAAAGGAACUUUUUUGCCACCUAAAGGUACAAAAUGGCUUUGUCACUGGGGCGGUACCUUAAUGGGACAAAAUUGUACCUUUUUCCAGAGGUACUUUAUUGUACCUUUGUCUAGGGUACAUUAUUGAUCCUCAAAGGUACAGUAUUGGCCCUUAGAAGGUACAAACAAGUAAGGUACAAAUUUGCUCCCCUGACUCAAGGUACAAUAAUGUACCUUUGAGGGUACCACCCCAGUGAUAAGCUUUUGUUCCUUAAAGGUACCGUUUUGUACUUUUUUUUUUUCUGAGAGUGUGUAAUAUGUACAAUUUUGUCAUGUGAUGGGUUUUUCCAGAUCACUUCACACUUAAAUAUUAAUUUAAAUGUAAUUCAAGGAGGAUUUUAUAUUUAUUAGUGGUUUAAGAACAUUUUAAAAUUCUGGAAUUGUAGUUGAUUGCAUUUAAUAAAACACGUCUUACAUUAA